CUGUGCCUCAAAGCGGUGUGCCAACGCUCCAUAAGUUCUGCCCUGCCAUGCGGAGCCGGGUCCAGUGCCCCGGCACUCUGUGGGUGAGGAGCCUUGUCCCGGUGUCCAACCUGAGCCUGCCCCGAGACAGCUGCAGGCCGUUCUCUCGGCUCCUGUCGCUGAUCACGGAAUGAUAGAGUUUGCACAUCUCUCUCACGUGGUAUCUGUGCCUUUCCAGCAGUGUAUUUUCGAAAGGUUUUGAAAGGUGCUCAAAGAAAAUAUAGUGACUGAUCAAAACUGGAAAUGAAACCCCCUGAAAUCUGAAACGUUUUGGAAUAAAACAACCUGAAAAUCACAACUACCUCUUCCAGCAAAUAAGGAGUAGGAACCCUCUGAUGUGUGGCAGUGGCUCUGUACAAAAGAGAAUGGGAAAACACCAUGGGAGAUGUUUGCCAGCCAAGAAAUCUGCUGUUCCUGUGUCUCACAGCAUUUCCCAACGGAAACAUUCAGGCUCUUUUCCUUCCAGAAACUGACAUCUUUUUCAGGCAAAACUCACCACUUUUCUCCCUGGCAGCACUGCUUAGAAUGGUUCCCAUUUUUAAAUGGGAGCAGCCUUCUACCCACAGGAUUUUUUGUCAAGGGAAGUGGUUGAGUCACCAUCUCUGGAGGUAUUUAAAAGAUGUGUGGAUAUGGCGCUUAGGAAGAGACAGAAGAGUCAAGCAGAUUUCAGUGUUGAAGAUGAUUUUCUCUUUUAUUGCAAAUGUACACAUUACAUUAAUGAUAAUGCACAGAAAUUUUAAAAUUGGCUAAAAUUACAGCUAUUUAAAAAUUGGAUAUUGUUGGCUAAAAUUCUGUUGAUUACAAAACUGCACAAGAUUUGUUACAACUAAAAAACCCACCUUCAGAAGUAUAUAAAUAGAAUUUUGAGCAUAAAUAACAGUAACAAAAUAAACAGAUGUAUGUAUUCAAUAAAUUAAUUAUAAA